GACGAACGCUGGCGGCGUGGAUUAGGCAUGCAAGUCGGACGGUAGGGCUUUAUCGUAAGAUAGAGUUUGAGAGUGGCGAAUGGGUAGAGUAACACGUAGGAAUCUACCCUUAAGACGGGGGACAACCCAGGGAAACUUGGGCUAAUACCGGAUGAGAGUGCGAGAGAUUGCAUUUAAAAGGAUGGCGAAAGUUAUCGCUUAGGGAUGAGCCUGCGGUCUAUUAGUUAGUUGGUGGGGUAAGAGCUCACCAAGGCGAUGAUAGAUAGGCGGCCUUAACGGGUGGUCGCCCACACUGGGAUUGAGAUACGGCCCAGACUCCUACGGGAGGCAGCAGUCGAGAAUAGUCUACAAUGGCCGGAAGGCUGAUAGUGCGACGCCGCGUGAACGAGGGAGCCCUUCGGGGUGUAAAGUUCUUUUCUAUACGAGCAGUGCUAUAUAUAUGGAUAGUAUAUAUAGAGGGAUAGUAGUAUAGGAAUAAGCAACGGCUAACUCCGUG
rnacentral:rRNA from 1 species